CACGUGGUAUCCUGUCUGAAUAUGGGGGGACCAUCCUCCAAGGCUAAAUACUCCUGACUGACCGAUAGUGAACCAGUACCGUGAGGGAAAGGCGAAAAGAACCCCGGCGAGGGGAGUGAAAAAGAACCUGAAACCGUGUACGUACAAGCAGUGGGAGCACGCUUAGGCGUGUGACUGCGUACCUUUUGUAUAAUGGGUCAGCGACUUAUAUUCUGUAGCAAGGUUAACCGAAUAGGGGAGCCGAAGGGAAACCGAGUCUUAACUGGGCGUUAAGUUGCAGGGUAUAGACCCGAAACCCGGUGAUCUAGCCAUGGGCAGGUUGAAGGUUGGGUAACACUAACUGGAGGACCGAACCGACUAAUGUUGAAAAAUUAGCGGAUGACUUGUGGCUGGGGGUGAAAGGCCAAUCAAACCGGGAGAUAGCUGGUUCUCCCCGAAAGCUAUUUAGGUAGCGCCUCGUGAAUUCAUCUCCGGGGGUAGAGCACUGUUUCGGCAAGGGGGUCAUCCCGACUUACCAACCCGAUGCAAACUGCGAAUACCGGAGAAUGUUAUCACGGGAGACACACGGCGGGUGCUAACGUCC
rnacentral:rRNA from 1 species